GACGAACGCUGGCGGCGUGCCUAAUACAUGCAAGUCGAGCGAAUCAAAGGGAGCUUGCUCCUGGAGAUUAGCGGCGGACGGGUGAGUAACACGUGGGCAACCUGCCCUGUAGACUGGGAUAACAUCGAGAAAUCGAUGCUAAUACCGGAUAACACCUUUCUUCUCAUGGAGGAAGGUUAAAAGUUGGGAUUACUAACACUACAGGAUGGGCCCGCGGCGCAUUAGCUAGUUGGUAAGGUAAUGGCUUACCAAGGCGACGAUGCGUAGCCGACCUGAGAGGGUGAUCGGCCACACUGGGACUGAGACACGGCCCAGACUCCUACGGGAGGCAGCAGUAGGGAAUCUUCCGCAAUGGACGAAAGUCUGACGGAGCAACGCCGCGUGAGUGAUGAAGGUUUUCGGAUCGUAAAGCUCUGUUGUUAGGGAAGAACAAGUGCCGUUCGAAUAGGUCGGCACCUUGACGGUACCUAACCAGAAAGCCACGGCUAACUACGUGCCAGCCGCCGCGGUAAAAC
rnacentral:rRNA from 1 species